GACGCUGGCGGCAUGCCUAACACAUGCAAGUCGAACGAGACCUUCGGGUCUAGUGGCGCACGGGUGCGUAACGCGUGGGAAUUUGCCUCGGGGUACGGAAUAACUCAGGGAAACUUGAGCUAAUACCGUAUGAUGUCUUCGGACCAAAGAUUUAUCGCCCUGAGAUAAGCCCGCGUAGGAUUAGCUAGUUGGUGAGGUAAGAGCUCACCAAGGCGACGAUCCUUAGCUGGUCUGAGAGGAUGAUCAGCCACACUGGGACUGAGACACGGCCCAGACUCCUACGGGAGGCAGCAGUGGGGAAUAUUGGACAAUGGGCGAAAGCCUGAUCCAGCAAUGCCGCGUGAGUGAUGAAGGCCUUCGGGUUGUAAAGCUCUUUUGCCCGGGACGAUAAUGACGGUACCGGGAGAAUAAGCCCCGGCUAACUCCGUG
rnacentral:rRNA from 1 species